CCCGAUAAAAAUCCAAAGGAACCGCUGGCCCAAUUAUGAAGAAACCGCCCGAUCUACAAACGUUUAUAUAAAAACCAAUUAUCUUCUCCUUCACAUUCAAAAAUCAAAUUCGACGCCCUACCUGUAGAGAGUAGCCUCUCAGCCAUCCCCUGCAACUUGCAAUUUAACUCCCAAAAAUCCAAACCUUCAAAUUUCAAGUUAUAUUAGAUGGAAGAAGAAGAUAUGAAUGGUGGAUGUGUUAUGAUAGUAGUGCACCAAAUCUACAAACUCUUGCAAUUCGAGUAUUAAGUCAAACAUGUAGUUCUUCAGGUUGCGAGAGAAAUUGGAGUAUGUUUGAACAUAUUCAUUCUAAAAAGAGAAAUAGACUCGAGCACCAAAAGCUUAAUGAUCUUGUUUAUGUUCACUACAAUUUACGAUUGCAACAAUGGUAUAUUAUUUAAAUAAAUCCUUUAAUCCUUUUGUGAAUUUUUCUAAUUAAGAUUUUGAUUUCUUGUACCAGAAUUAUAUUUUGAUUAAUUAUAAAUUGGAUAAUAAACUUUGUUUAGGAAUUAUUUCAAAAGUCGAAAUUAUGAUCCUAUCGACUUUGAAAGGUUUGGCAUUUAUGGCAAUUAGGUAUUAGAGGAGAAGCCACCAAAUUAGGUGGAUGAUGAGUUGGAGACAUUUCAUCGUGAUUUGGGUGCAUGUUCUAUACAAAAUGAUAAAAAUAAUGAUGAAUUACAUUUUGAUGAUCUUGAUCUUGAUUGUGAUGGAAAUGACGACAAUGGAAAUGGUAAUAGAAAUUAUACAAACAAUGGAAACGAGGAUUUUAGUAUGACUGAGACUCCAUCAUUGGUACAAGGCGAAGGAAUUGAAGAAUUUAUGUUCGAGACCCCAGCAUUGAUGCAUUCUAACUCUUCUUAAUUUAGAAGAUAUUGAUUUAUUUCAAAAUUUCAAAUAAUUUACUUUGUUAACAUGGUCUUUAUCUACGUUUAACUUUUAAUUGAUAGUUUUACUUUUGCAAGAAUAUUAU